UACGUAGGUGGCAAGCGUUGUCCGGAUUUAUUGGGUUUAAAGGGUGCGUAGGCGGUCCUAUAAGUCAGUUGUGAAAUACGGCAGCUUAACUGUCGAGGUGCAAUUGAUACUGCAGGACUUGAGUACAGACGAGGUAGGCGGAAUUGACGGUGUAGCGGUGAAAUGCUUAGAUAUCGUCAAGAACACCGAUAGCGAAGGCAGCUUACUAGACUGUAACUGACGCUGAUGCACGAAAGUGCGGGGAUCAAACAGG
rnacentral:rRNA from 1 species